rnacentral:rRNA from 1 species
GUAUAGGGGAGCCGCAGGGAAACCGAGUCUUAACUGGGCGUUAAGUUGCAGGGUAUAGACCCGAAACCCGGUGAUCUAGCCAUGGGCAGGUUGAAGGUUGGGUAACACUAACUGGAGGACCGAACCGACUAAUGUUGAAAAAUUAGCGGAUGACUUGUGGCUGGGGGUGAAAGGCCAAUCAAACCGGGAGAUAGCUGGUUCUCCCCGAAAGCUAUUUAGGUAGCGCCUCGUGAAUUCAUCUUCGGGGGUAGAGCACUGUUUCGGCUAGGGGGUCAUCCCGACUUACCAACCCGAUGCAAACUACGAAUACCGAAGAAUGUUAUCACGGGAGACACACGGCGGGUGCUAACGUCCGUCGUGAAGAGGGAAACAACCCAGACCGCCAGCUAAGGUCCCAAAGUCAUGGUUAAGUGGGAAACGAUGUGGGAAGGCACAGACAGCCAGGAUGUUGGCUUAGAAGCAGCCAUCAUUUAAAGAAAGCGUAAUAGCUCACUGGUCGAGUCGGCCUGCGCGGAAGAUGUAACGGGGCUAAACCAUGCACCGAAGCUGCGGCAGCGACACUAUGUGUUGUUGGGUAGGGGAGCGUUCUGUAAGCCUGCGAAGGUGACCUGUGAGGGUUGCUGGAGGUAUCAGAAGUGCGAAUGCUGACAUAAGUAACGAUAAAGCGGGUGAAAAGCCCGCUCGCCGGAAGACCAAGGGUUCCUGUCCAACGUUAAUCGGGGCAGGGUGAGUCGACCCCUAAGGCGAGGCCGAAAGGCGUAGUCGAUGGGAAACAGGUUAAUAUUCCUGUACUUGGUGUUACUGCGAAGGGGGGACGGAGAAGGCUAUGUUAGCCGGGCGACGGUUGUCCCGGUUUAAGCAUGUAGGCUGGUUGUCCAGGCAAAUCCGGAUAAUCAAGGCUGAGGUGUGAUGACGAGGCACUACGGUGCUGAAGUAACAAAUGCCCUGCUUCCAGGAAAAGCCUCUAAGCAUCAGGUAACAUUAAAUCGUACCCCAAACCGACACAGGUGGUCAGGUAGAGAAUACCAAGGCGCUUGAGAGAACUCGGGUGAAGGAACUAGGCAAAAUGGUGCCGUAACUUCGGGAGAAGGCACGCUGGUGUGUAGGUGAAGUCCCUGCGGAUGGAGCUGAGACCAGUCGAAGAUACCAGCUGGCUGCAACUGUUUAUUAAAAACACAGCACUGUGCAAACACGAAAGUGGACGUAUACGGUGUGACGCCUGCCCGGUGCCGGAAGGUUAAUUGAUGGGGUUAUCCGUAAGGAGAAGCUCUUGAUCGAAGCCCCGGUAAACGGCGGCCGUAACUAUAACGGUCCUAAGGUAGCGAAAUUCCUUGUCGGGUAAGUUCCGACCUGCACGAAUGGCGUAAUGAUGGCCAGGCUGUCUCCACCCGAGACUCAGUGAAAUUGAACUCGCUGUGAAGAUGCAGUGUACCCGCGGCAAGACGGAAAGACCCCGUGAACCUUUACUAUAGCUUGACACUGAACAUUGAGCCUUGAUGUGUAGGAUAGGUGGGAGGCUUUGAAGCGUGGACGCCAGUCUGCGUGGAGCCAACCUUGAAAUACCACCCUUUAAUGUUUGAUGUUCUAACGUUGGCCCCUGACCGGGGUUGCGGACAGUGUCUGGUGGGUAGUUUGACUGGGGCGGUCUCCUCCCAAAGCGUAACGGAGGAGCACGAAGGUUAGCUAAUCCUGGUCGGACAUCAGGAGGUUAGUGCAAUGGCAUAAGCUAGCUUGACUGCGAGCGUGACGGCGCGAGCAGGUGCGAAAGCAGGUCAUAGUGAUCCGGUGGUUCUGAAUGGAAGGGCCAUCGCUCAACGGAUAAAAGGUACUCCGGGGAUAACAGGCUGAUACCGCCCAAGAGUUCAUAUCGACGGCGGUGUUUGGCACCUCGAUGUCGGCUCAUCACAUCCUGGGGCUGAAGUAGGUCCCAAGGGUAUGGCUGUUCGCCAUUUAAAGUGGUACGCGAGCUGGGUUUAGAACGUCGUGAGACAGUUCGGUCCCUAUCUGCCGUGGGCGCUGGAGAAUUGAGGGGGGCUGCUCCUAGUACGAGAGGACCGGAGUGGACGCAUCACUGGUGUUCGGGUUGUCAUGCCAAUGGCACUGCCCGGUAGCUAAAUGCGGAAGAGAUAAGUGCUGAAAGCAUCUAAGCACGAAACUUGCCCCGAGAUGAGUUCUCCCUGAGACUUUAAGUCUCCUGAAGGAACGUUGAAGACGACGACGUUGAUAGGCCGGGUGUGUAAGCGCAGCGAUGCGUUGAGCUAACCGGUACUAAUGAACCGUGAGGCUUAACCUUACAACGCCGAAG